rnacentral:sRNA from 1 species
GUAUCUGUGGUCCGAGAGCGUCUCCGC